rnacentral:rRNA from 1 species
CGUAGGGGACCAAGCGUUGUUCGGAGUUUACUGGGCGUAAAGGGCGCGUAGGCGGCAAAUUAAGUCAUCUGUGAAAUCUCCGAGCUUAACUCGGAACGGUCAGGUGAUACUGAUCUGCUAGAGUGCGAAGGGGCAAUCGGAAUUCUUGGUGUAGCGGUGAAAUGCGUAGAUAUCAAGAGGAACACCUGAGGUGAAGACGGGUUGCUGGGCCGACACUGACGCUGACAGCGCGAAAGCCAGGGGAGCAAACGGGAUUAGAUACCCCGGUAGUCCUGGCCUUAAACGAUGAAUACUUGGUGUCUGGAGUCUCUAUAGCUCCGGGUGCCGUCGCUAACGUUUUUAGUAUUCCGCCUGGGGAGUACGCACGCAAGUGUG